rnacentral:lncRNA from 1 species
CCAGCCUAUGCGGCCCGGCCCGGCCCGGCCUCCGAUCGGGCCCGCUCCCCCGCCCGCGCCCCGCCCGCACCGAGCACCCGAAGCGCGGGAGCGCGCGCGCCCUACGGGCCGCACCAUCGUACAGGCCGCUGGGGGAGGAGCUCCCGGGAGCAAUCCAGACGCUGGCGCCAAGAAGAGCCUCUCCUACAGCCUGCGGCCCCAAAGGACACAGACACCAGCGCACCCUGCUCCGCAGACGUACAGCCGGAUGCCAUUUCCCUCCUAUGAGCCUGCCGCGGGCACGGGGAAUCCGGCUCCCCCCGCGGGCCGCACUGAGCUCGUCCGGGGGCGGGGGCGGACGGCCCCUACCGUCACCCCACGCGGCCUCGGUCUGCGCAGGCGCGCAGAGGGGGUGGACUCUUGGCCGGGGCGACGGCUACGGCGACUUGGUGGAGCGAGUGUCGCGACGUCCUGCCGCCGAGCGAGGAGCGCCUCCUGGGCCUGCCCAACCACGGCUUUGGGCCACGGGUGUGCGUCCACUCGCCGAGACACCUGACGACCGCGGCCGAGGGGGAAGGCAGCGCAGACGGGGCGCUCCCCGGUGUCGCUGGGCUGCGGGGGUCGGGACAGGGUCCAGAAGCCUUUGAUGCAAAUGUUAGCCGGCCGGUCAAAGCGAAGACGACGCCUUUGCAGUCCUCCGUGACACCGCGAUGCGAUAGCUCCGUCACGUUGAGGCUCAAGCUGGCCUGUGUCCUGUUACUGGAGUUCGUGGUGAAAAGCGGCCCUGGAGGUGAACGUCGUCGGCCGGUUCCUUGGCCACUUUGGUUAUCUUUUGAUUUGUACGGGUGUGAGUGAUUUUGCCAGAGCAAACCUUUGUGGUCCAGCAGCUGGGAAGCAAGAGGAAGACCUGAAAACCAAUGUUUUGCUGUCAGAGUGGGGUGAGAGGAUGAAGCUAAAACUAGAAAUACUGGACCAUAUUUGGUAUUGAUUUAAGCCAAAUUGCACACUAAAUACUACACAUAAUAAUAAAAGAGUUAUCACAGCCUGCAAGACAUAGUGGCACAUGCUUGUAAUCCUAGCACUCUGAGAGGCUGAGACAGGAGGAUCAAAAUUUGGACCCUAGCCUGGGCAACUUAGGGACUCAGCAAAACCCUGUCUCAAAAAAAAAAGUCUUGGGAUGUAGCUUAGUGCAAAGGGCAUGGGUUCAAUCACCAGUACUGCAAAAAAAAAAAAAAAAAAUUUAAUCAUAGUGUAAUAGUGACCGUGUUACCAGUCACUUAGGUUUGUUUGCUCACUGCUGGUCCAAUCAAAGGAGGCCAUUAAUUUUGGUAAAAAGACAAAAGCAUUUAUUCAAAGCAAGCUCCAAGGUGAUGGAAGGGCUCAUUUCCCUCAAAUCACCAUCUCACUAUGUACAGUUGUGUCCGAGGCUUUUCUUAUUAGGAACGGAGGAGAGGGAACAUAAAAUAGACAUGUGCAAGUUGGAUCCAUCCUUUUCUGGACACAGACCUCCCUCCCUUCCCUGUGGAAGUGAAACUGGACUUUGAGGUCCUCAUACCAGAAUCUGCUUACUCUGUCCAUGCACCUGGCUGACCUCCCAAUUGGGCAAUCUUCCUGCCUCAUCUUCUCUACACUCAGCACACCCGUAGUCCCUCCCCUCUCAAGAGCCUGCCCUUUUUAUAGCCUCGGGCUGAGGGUGCAGCACUCCAGAUAGGACCCCUGUAGAUCCCUGGCUGAUCAUCUUAUUCCCCUAUACACACUGGUAACACUGGAACAAGGUGACAUCAGUGUAGAAGGGGUGAAAUCUGUGUGUCAGACCCCUGCCCAACAGAAGAGAAAAACUUCCCAGGCAACAAGGCACAAAGGAUAGCAGGAAGCCAAGGCCUGGGUUCAAGAUAGCCCACGCCAUGCAGCAGCACCCUGGAGACCACAAAACUUCCUCCACCCCAGAACAAAAGACUUCCUCCACUGCAGGUCAAAAUUGUCCACUCCUCCUGGCACUAUCCCUCCGUUGCCCAAUUCCCCUAUAAAGUGUCCCCUUGUGCAGGCCCCCGUGGUCAAUAGCUUUGUUGCCCUUGACUAGCCUGCACCCAGGCUGAAAAUAAAACCUGGUUUGUUGCUUCAUUUUUGCCUGGUCUGGUGGUCUCAGUCAUGCCUCAGUUUACCCUAACACUGUGGACACAGCAGGCCCUGGUCCAGAGCAAUAGGGCCCUCCCUGCCUGAUAGGCUGAUGUUGAAAGGAGCCCACCUGGUUUAGGGGAUGUUCCUGUUAUUCCACCUCCACCACCAGAUAGCUUUCACUAAAUUCCAUUGCAGCAACCCAGUUUCUAACCCACUCAGGGAGGAGAAACCGCAGAGGAGCUGGCACGGAAUCACUUCCUCAUGGACAGAUGAGAACCACCUGUAAUCCCAGCACUUAGGUGGCUGAGGCAGGAGGUUCGCUAUGAGUUCAAAGCCAGCCUGGCCUACAUAGUGAGCUCAAGACCAACCUGGAAUACAUAGUGAGACCUUGUGUCAAAAAAGAACCCAUGAGUGAAAUCCUUUCUCCUCCCACUUGUGAAACCCAAGUCCCCAGGCUCAUCAGAAGAACCUCUUGGGCUGAGUACCAGAGUCUCCUUGCCCCGCCAGUUUGGUGACAUGUCCCUCCAGCCCUGUUUUGGCCCCUUGGCUGCUUUCCCAGCUGUGCUCUUUCACACAGCCUUUGUCUCCACAGAUUGGAGAAACCAGACCAAAGCAAGUCCUGUGGGCAAGUAAAAGUUCAGGGAGACCUGUGAUCCCACAGAAAAGGAAAGGGUGAUCGGCAACAAGGGACGAGGAUCUAAUGCAGCGGAAAAGUGGUUUUGCAUUCUUUGUCUUUUUGUUGGGCUGGUUUCUGCCUGUGGUUAAAACAUGGAUCCCUUCACACUUAGGAGAGAUGAUGCCAGCGUCAGGAUAAUGCUGCAGUUUCUGGUGCAUCACCACAGACUUUUAUUAUUCAAAGCAAGUUAAUCUGCCAACAAGUAAUUCAUUUCCUCCAGGAUCCCUGCCCAGAAUGCUUCCACCAAUUGAUGGUUCUUGAAAGAUUAAUAUUCUUCAUACUAUGGUAUCUUGCUUUUUCUCUGUGGCAGCUCAAUUACUGUGAGCAUUUACUUUGCCCCAAUAAGGAGCACAUGUUUCAGUGGCAUUGGGGUACAUCUGGAAGCUGCCCUUGUUCAGGUUCUGUGGAGCCAGCAGGAGAGGCCAGGCAAGGUGACUCAUUCACAUGUCCUAUCACGAAGAAUUGGGAAUCCACUCAGGAAUUGCUUCUCUUACCAAAUAGUUUCUUUUAACACAUCAGAUCUUUCCAAGUUUGGGUCUGAUGUUGACAUAAUCCAACUUUCAAGGACUGGAGAUGACAUGCAUGCCCAGGAAAUAACAAAAUGCAUUCUAAGUUGGAAGUGGCCAGCCUAAAGGGUGAUGGAAAAUUUCUAUUGCUUCAUUUAUGGCCUUGGAAGUGUAUGAAAAAAACUGUUAUUGUGAAUUGCAUUGAUCAUUUAAUUAAAAGUACCCAGCUGCAUUGAUGGGUCAGAUGAACACAUUUGUUUACAGUCACCAGAGUGAAGAAAUUUGGGGGAGGAAAUUGUGACUACAUUUCCGCCAGAGUUCCUGGGUUCCAGGUAGGAGGAGUAAGUACACAGAGAAACAACAGAGUCCUGAAACUCGGGAAAUUCCACAAAUUGGUGCCUCUUGCCUUCUGUAGGCAAAACCCAUGUUUACAGAAGACCUCCUCUGCUAUCGAGUGAUUUGAGGACCUGGAUUUUGGGGAGUCUGAAUUUGCUUCCCUCUUCAGAUGCCCUUGUCAAUUGCAUGUGGCAUGAGAAUGAUCGCAGAACCCUAAAAUUACUAACCAGAUACCUGUUUGGAUGUUUUUAAGCUUAGAAAUACAAUGUCCAAUGGCAAUGCAAGCACAACCUUUUGCUCAUUUGGCUGUUGCUCUGAGACUUCCCCAGAGAUUACAAAUUUAUGUCCAAGAGUCAUGUUGACAAGGUAUGGCAGGUUGGGUCUAUAAAAAGAGAGGAGCUUGUUUGCAAAAUAUGUUUUUAUCUGUUGGUUCACCAGCUAAUUGAGAUCUGAGACAGAGUCUGGUUCCCGCCCUUACCACACUGACAAACGUUUUAACAGUUUUCUCCAACUUGAGCUCCUGGUUUGGUAGUCCUACUUAAGUCUAUUUCUGCCUCCAAAAGGUAGAUUCAGUCACAUUUCUUUUUUGGAAAAUAUAAAAGACAAGAAAAGUGAGACCUACUUCAUUUAAGUGGAUUGUCCAUGCUCACAGUUACUGGCAGAGUUUGAGUUGAAUCCAUCCAGCUUUUUGGACUUUUCUCAUUCAUUCUGCAAAGUUGUUUUUAUAGGAAGAAGUUUUGAUUUCACAUAAAGUGAAAUUAGAAAAGAGGCAAACUCUCCAAAAAUAUCCAUACUAUAAAAAUUUAUUUAUGCCCCAAACAGUCCACUGAUUGAUAUUUUGUAUAGCUAAUAUAGAGUCCUCUUUUGAAAUUGAAGUGGAAGAGACAUUGGUUAGAUCUAAAUUUAGAACUUCCUACUUUCAAUGUCUUGUGUCAGUUUUAAUUUUCAGAUUUAAUUAGUUUCCUAAUUAGAAGGGUUAAAUUAAUUAACCUCAUUAUUUACUAUAUAUUUAAUGAUUUCUCCUCUAUAGGGAGAGACUGAAUUUUCAAUAAUUGGAAAGCUUAUGACAAGAGGGAAUAUUGCCAAGUUUUACACUCACUGCUGUGUGAUCAGCAGCCAGCACAGGACAGGUUGAAGGGAAUAUUAGCAAAGGCUACUUCCCACUUGCUCUGAAACAUAAUGCCUGUAAAAAUGUGGACUGGGUCAAUAAUUUCUAUCAAAUUAGAACUCAAUGGAUGUAUCCUUUAUUUGAGAAUAAAGGCUAUCCUCUAACAUAGGCUUUUUUGUUUUUGGUACCAGGGAUCAAACUCACUACCUUGCACUUUUGAGGCAGGCACAGUGCCACUGAGCUAAAUCCCCGGCCCUUAACAUAGACUUUUAUAUUAUAAGAAAUGACUAUUAUACAAUCUUAGUUACAGAAAAUAAUCAUCAAGCAUUGAAAAUAGUAACUAAUUAUAAUGAAAAGGAGAGUUUCUCAAAUUAUCAUCUAGUUUUCUAUUAUCUAUUUUGCAUAAAGCAAUGUUUAGUUUUUUUCUCAGACUUUGUCAAUGGAUUGAAUGGAUGACAUUUUAGGAAGACAGUAAGAUAAUAAGCUUAAUAUGUACUUAUUUGGAACUCAGAUUGACCUUGUUACUUCCCCUUAAUGCAUGCAUAAAUAUAAACGUUGGUGAUACCUGUGUUUUAAUGGAGCAAAAUGUUUUUUUGGAACAAAAAUAAAGGUGUACCUACAAAGGUUGAAUUUGUCUCCUCUUCCCAUUUUGUGAUGGCCUGGAUGGAGGUUGGAGCAGCCAGUCCUCCACAGACAGAACCCCAAGAAGCCAUGACUGCAUGGUCAUGGGGUCUCUUUAGUGCCCAUGAUGCCACCACAGGGGGAGACCUUGACCCACAGAGGUUACAGG